UAGCUCAGUGGUAGAGCACUUGCCUAGCAUGCAUAAGGCCCUGGGUUUGAUUCUCAG
rnacentral:tRNA from 1 species